GGAAUAUAAGAAACCGUCUUUUAACUUUUAACUAAAAAAGUUAAGAACCGGUUCAUAAACAAGAUAUUUAAGAACCGGUUCUUAACUACUAAAAAAGUUAAGAGACGGUUUCUUAUAUUCC
rfam:Brassica napus, WGS project CCCW01000000 data, contig: 39532